CUUGUGAUGGAUGGAUGCAAUAUUUAAAAUCAAUAAAGAUUAAAUGCAAAAAAAGGGGGGGGAGGAAAUGGGAGUGGAGCCACAUAAAGAGGAGUGCAAGUUGGGGAUGGGGGGAUGGAAAAUGGGGAUGGGGUGGGAUUAGAGAAGGGAGAGUGAAAGGGUCUUCUUGAGCCCUUUGCAACUUAUGGUACCACGGAUGAUGCUCCAGGCAUCUGGCAGGCUAGAACCCUGAAGAGAAGCACUCCAGUUACAAGGCAAGAAUGUGCUGCAACAUUACAUUUCAUGGCGGGUCCCACUUGUAUAUUCCAGGAGGCAGGCUUCAAGAUUCUAUCACACUCCAGGAUGACCAAGAAACUGAAUCCAGGGUGAGGCUAUUAAUGUGAAAGAGCAGACGCAACAAUAUGAAUGACAGAUCCAUAGGUGGCAGCAAAAUGGGGGCAGAGGGGCAAGUGUCUCCCCAAACAAGGAGCCUGCCCUCCCACUUGCUUCGCCCACAAAAAAAAAAAUUCUGGCCAUUAAUGUCAUACUGUUAUUUUGCUUUCACUGGUAACUUACCUAGAAAUGUACUUUUGUUCCUCCCUGCCAGAUUUCUUUUUUGGUUCCGCUGCUGCUAUCUCCAAAAAUCUCCUGCCUCCCAUCGUAAGCGGUAUAUUUGCAGUCAAAUAAAUGAAAGGUAAAGGUAAAAGAUAAAGGACCCUUGGAUGGUUAAGUCCAGUCAAGGUGACUAUGGGGUUGCGGUGCUCAUCUCACUUUUCAGGCUGAGGGAGCCGGUGUUUGUCCACAGACAGCUUUCCAGGUCAUGUGGCCAGCAGGACUAAACCGCUUCUGGUGCAACGGGACACAUUGACAGGAACCAGAGCAUACGAAAACAUCGUUUACCUUCCCGCCACGGAGGUACCUGUUUAUCUACUUGCACUGGUGUGCUUUCGAACUGCUAGGUUGGCAGGAGCUGGGACAGAGCAACGGGAGCUCACCCCGCCGCCGGGAUUCGAACCGCCGACCUUCUGAUCGGCAAGCCCAAGAGGUUCAAGGGUUUAGACCACAGGGCCAUCAUUUCAUCACACACAAAGUUGGCCAUCAUUUAGAUAGCAAGGUGUGGUGUGCCUUCCUGCACUGAAGGGAGUGCUUAUAAACUAGAGCAAUGGGGAAGUUCCCAUUAAUGUAGCCCUUCUUCCUUCCUACUCAUCUUAGGUUCACCCAGUGUUGGCAGUAGAACUCCACUCUUCAGACUGGAGAGUUGAAACCACCACGGGGGAAGGAAUUGUUCAUAGUAAUCAGCUCAAAGUUAUCAAUGCCUGUGGCACACUAUCUCUGCGGGAAAAGGGAUAGGAGAAGAUGGUGGAGAAGAUCUGGAGGCAUGAACGCAGCACAGAAUCUUAUUUCAUACACUUAUUUUUCCAUUUUCAACAGCUGGAUGGUUUAUAACAAGCUUUGCUCCUGCCGAAACUUUGCUGAUGGAUCCCCCGAUUGCUCCUGAUCUGCUUAAUUCCUCUUCUAAAAUGAGCAUUAAGCAGGCACAAAUAUCUCAGUGUUUCCCAUCCAUUUAGGUGUCGUCUCUGGCAUAUUACGGUAAGAUGAGACGAAUCAAUGAGAAAAUGUGCAUCAAGGUAGGCAUUUUACAGCUACUUUAGCCGAGUUCAAGUCUAUUAAACAGGGAAAUGAACCUAGAGGAAAGUCACUGCGCAAGGCAUCUCUCAGUUUAAUAACACUUGCAUUCGAAUUAUUGUUAACUUCUAACUUAUUUCAGCCUUGCUCGGGAUAAAUCAUUUAAAAGGAACAAGCUAAAAUUGCAUAUUAGCAAGUGGAAGGCAAUAUUUAGCUCCGGAAGGAAGAGAAGUGUUCAAUGUAUGGUCAUAAAUCUGGGAAGCAUCAAAGCUGGCCAUCAUUUAGGUAGCAUUUAACUAAUAAACAAUUGUGGUUCAGGAUGAUGAAGUGGUCUGAUGCAUUAAUGAAUUAUGAUGCAAUGCAGACCCCAGUUGCUGCCCAGUGAAGCUUAAUGGAGUUAGGAGACCAUUGGUGCAUCUGUAGCCCUGCUGCUUAUGCCAGCCAGGACAGAGUGGGAAGGAGAGCAAUCAAAUCACUGAAUCAGCCUCCCAGUGAUUGCUCCAUACAUUUCCAGAGUUCCUUGGGAAGAAAGGUUGAUUAGCAAACCACUCAGUGAAUUGUUAACUCUCAGAGGCGAAUACUGAAGACUCUCCAAGUGUCCUUGUUUUCCAGGGACAGUCCUGGAUUUACAGAAGCCGUUCCAGUUUCUGAUUUGAUCCCAGAAUGUCUCCCUUUUCCUUAGGACAUCCCUAUUUUCACCAGAGAAAUGUUGGAGGGUAUGGAGUUAGGCUAGGGUUGCCAUAUUUCAAAAAGUAAAAACUAGGACAGAAAAACCUCAAUAUUGUUGAGGUUUCUAAAAGAAAACCCAAAGGCUGUUGAGCUUUUUUUUAGACAAACCCCAAAGUUGUUGAGCUCUUUCUAGUAAAAGCUACAAGAAUUUUCAAGGUAUGGAGUUUUUCUGGGCUUUUUCGGCACAAUGUAACACCCAUUGCCGGUUUUCUAGGUCAUUUGCCUGAUUUCAAAAAUAUAAUCCAGGACGCCAUUUUCAGAAAAUCAGGUCGUAUGUCAGCCUUAUGUUAUGUGACCCCUGAGCCAAGGAGAUAAGUAACCACACAACCUGAAGGCAACCCUGUAUAGCCUUUUUAAUGGUUUUUUUUUUAAUGUCCAAUGGUUUUUUAAUGGUUUUAUAUAUGCAGGAAGCAAGCCAGUCAGGUGGGUGGGGUAUAAAUAAUAAAAUUAUUGUUGUUCUUGUAUAGGGGGUCCCUAUUUUCAUUGGGAAAAUGUUGGAGAGUAUGAUAAGCAUUUCCUACCAACUCUUAGCAUCCUUACCAAACUCCUGUUCCCAGGAUUCUUUGAGGGAGGCUGUGACUGCUAAAAUAGUGUAAACCUGCUUUAAAUGUAUGGUGCAAAUGUGGCCUUAAUGCCAUCCCAUGGAAGCAGUGGGGCCAGCGUAGAAUCCAAUGGCUCUUGAGCCAGCUCAGCUCCUCCUCUUGAACACCCCAUUUCAAAGCUUCCCACUGGUUGUUACUGGUGGGGUUCCUGCUUGCAGAGCUUCUGUCUACCUGGCCAUUCAACAGAUGAAAGAGGGAGCACCACCCCAGCAGAGUGACGUGUAGCAGAACGGGGUGGAGGUGGGGAUUACCCUACAAAGGCUGGUGGAACCAGAUGGCUCUACACAGUCCACACACCCAGUCUGGCACAAAACUGCUUUAUAGACCUUUAAAGCCCUAAAUGGCCUCAGCGCAGUAUACCUGAAGGAGCGUCUCCACCCCCAUCGUUCAGCCCGGACACUGAGGUCCAGCUCCGAGGGCCUUCUGGUGGUUCCCUCACUGUGAGAAGUGAGGUUACAGGGAACCAGGCAGAGGGCCUUCUCGGUAGUGGCGCCUGCCCUGUGGAAGGCCCUCCCACCAGGUGUCAAGGAAAUAAACAACUAUCUGACUUUUAGAAGACAUCUGAAGGCAGCCCGGAAUUGGGAAGUUUUUAAUAUUUGGUGUUUUAAUUUGUUGGAAGCAGAAACUUCAAUGCAUUGUUGGAGCUGAGGAAAGGGACUUUUUGAUCUAAUAUCCUUUAACAUCACUGAUGCUGGUCUCUGCAGAAUAAUGGCCAUUUGGCCGGGCCUAUUAAAGCAUCUGUAGUUUGGCUGAGUUUUGUUGAACCAGUUGCUGGGUUUUUGAUUUGUGUCUGCCUAUUUAGGAUUUUAUGGUUCAGUUUUAUCGUUGUACUAUUGCAGGGUUUGUCUUAUUGAUUUAUGGUUUUGUCUAUUAAAGCUGUUGUAGUGGAUGUUUUAAUUUAGUCUAUUUUACUAUUCACAUUGCCAAGAGAAGACCUUCAUUUAAAAAAAAUGGGGGACUUGAUUAAAAUAAAUAAAUUCUAAACAUUUUUUAAUUCUCAAUCAUCUAUCCAUAAACCAACUCUUAAGCACUUUCAUAUUUUCUUUUUCCAAAUAUACAUAUAUGUUAGAGAGGCAGAACACAAGAGGUUCAUGCGAUGAAAGGACCAAUGUGCUCACUCUUUAAAAGACCAUUUGAGAGGUCUUUUAUACUUGUGGUCACACUUUUGUAACACAGGUUAAUUAUAUGCUGAGAAGUAUGUGCUGUUUGGGGAUGCGGGUGGUGCUGUGGGUUAAACCACAGAGCCUAGGAUUUGCCGAUCAGAAGGUUGGCAGUUCAAAUCCCCACAACGGGGUGAGCUCCUGUUGUUCGGUCCCAGCUCCUGCCAACCUAGCAGUUCGAAAGCACAUAAAAGUGCAAGUAGAUAAAUAGGGACUGCUCAGGCGGGAAGGUAAAUAGCGUUUCUGUGCGCUGCUCUGGUUCGCCAGAAGCGGCUUAGUCAUGCUGGCCACAUGACCCGGAAGCUGUACGCUGGCUCCCUCGGCCAAUAAAGCGAGAUGAGCGCCGCAACCCCAGAGUCAGUCACAACUGGACCUAAUGGUCAGGGGUCCCUUUACCUUUACUUUACUUUAUGUGCUGUUAAGAAAGCACUUUAUCCAGCUGCUUAUCUAGGACACCCCCAAAAAAAUCACUUACACACCCACCUUUGUGCCACUGUGAGAGAAAGACAGGAAGCUUCUCCUGUGUUUGAUUUUGCAAUGAUAGCAGUAUCACAUUGACAAACAUUUACAUCAUACACUCCAUCGUCUGAGAAAUGAUUUUUGUGCCCCUCACCAGGCUUGCACCCCCAGAAGGGGCCAGUUUUGCCAACCCCUAGGUAUGCCUCUGACUUUAUCUGUACAGUGGUACCUCGGGUUACAGACGCUUCAGGUUACAGACUCCGCUAACCCAGAAAUAAUACCUUGGGUUAAGAACUUUGCUUCAGGAUGAGAACAGAAAUUGUGUGACGGCGGCACGGUGGCAGCGGGAGGCCCCAUUAGCAAAAGUGGUACCUCAGGUUAAGAACAGUUUCAGGUUAAGAAUGGACAUCCAGAAUGAAUUAAGUUCUUAACCCAAGGUACCACUGUAGUUCCUUAUACUGUACAUUUUAAAGAAUUAAACAUAUGUCUCCUUCUCCUCUGCCAGGCCCCUGCUUCAAGAAGCUAAAAGCAAUCAGAAAACUUUUCUCAAAUUAUUUAUAGAAAAGAAAAGAAAACAGCCCUCACAGUGGCUGAGCUAGCUGCUUGGGCACCCGGAGUGGCCACAUGCCGUGCCCACGGGGGUGGGGUGAUCCACUCAAGGGGACGGGGCUAUCCACCCGGGGGUGCGUGAUCGACACAGCAUCAAUCUGCCCGGGGGGUGCUCUAUUUCCAUGGCAGCAAUCCACCCAGGGUGGAGUUUGUCACCUCCCCUCAGGGAUGACGCCCGGGGCAGCCUGCACCCACCUUGCUCUGCCUCUGAGCCCUCACCAUUGGCUCUGGGUGCAAAAGCUUCUUCUUCUUCUUCUUCUUCUCCUCCUCCUCCUCCUCCUCCUCCUCCUCCUCCUCCUCCUCUUCUUCUUUGGUGAUCACUCGUAACUGAGUAAGACUGUCUUCCAUAAACACGGUUUUAACAAUGAGUCCGUAAGUGACUGUGGAGGCCAAUUCUGGAUCCACAUGUCCUUCCACAGUGGGGACAUAAGUUUCUGGGCAGGAGUUGAUCAAGGUGGGAAUUUGCCAAGCGUGCCUUCCUCUUAGCACGUUUCUCCCUUGCGUCCUGAGUUCGAGUGUCUUCAAAGCCCAUGACACCUUUGGUAAAGGCUGUUCUCCAACUGGAGUGCUCGCAGGCAAGUGUUUCCCAAUUGUUGGUGUUUAUACUACAUUGUUUAAAAAUUUGCCUUGACACAGUCUUUAAACCUCUUUUGUUGACCAGCAUUACACUUUCCAUUUUUAAAGUUUGGAAUAGAGUAGUUGCUUUGGAAGAGGCACUUGAAUUUAAACAUAUAUGGGAAGCUUUUGGGAAAGCAUUCACUGAUCUGUCACAAAGAAUAGAGGCCACUAACGGGCCAAAUUAAUUAAUUUACUCUUUAUCUGUAGCGGCGAGUUUUGAAGCCAACUGGAUUAAUAAUCUGCCAUUCCAACCAUGCUCACUUUUUAGCAUUAUAAUUACAAGACAAUUAGUCGCAGUCGCUGUUCUGCACCUGCCUUAUGUUGAAAGGUGUCCAAACACAUGAAGUCUGAAAUUAUACAUUUUAGCUGUUCCACGGGGUUUUCUUUUCUUAAGUAGGUUGGAGGCAAGAUUCAGCUUGACUAGCAUCCUUUGUAUAAAUGGGAGAGAAGUCACCCUAAGUGGUUCAGGUAGCAAUUACCAACUAUCCCAAAGGGGCAAUUAAAAUACACACACACCCUCGAACAAUUACAGUGACUUUGAGCCAAAACACAUGUUAUAGUGGAUUACUAUCAAAAAUGACCUCCUGUAACUCAUCCUCCCCUUUCUCUCUUCCAGACAGGAGUGGAGAACUUAUGCAGCCCUCCAGAUAUGGUUGACCAAUAGUCAGGGGAGACAGGAGUUGUGGUCUAGGUCCAGAAACAUCUGCAGGGUCAAAGGUUCCCUGCUACCACUGCUGUUAAG
rnacentral:lncRNA from 1 species